CAGGCCUAACACAUGCAAGUCGAGCGAGAAAGGGGAAACCCCGGUAAAGCGGCGCACGGGUGAGUAACACGUAGGUAAUUUACCCCUUGGUGGUGGAUAACCUUCCGAAAGGACCGCUAAUACCGCAUAAGACCACGACCUCGAGAGGGGAUGCGGUCAAAGCUGGCCUCUAUACAUAAGCUAGCACUUGAAGAUGAGCCCGCGGCGCAUCAGGUAGUUGGUGAGGUAACGGCUCACCAAGCCAAAGGCGCGUAGCUGGUCUGAGAGGAUGAUCAGCCACACUGGAACUGAGACACGGUCCAGACUCCUACGGGAGGCAGCAGUGGGGAAUCUUGCGCAAUGGGCGAAAGCCUGACGCAGCGACGCCGCGUGAGUGAUGAAGGCCUUCGGGUUGUAAAGCUCUGUGGGGAGAGACGAAUAAGUGCGGGCUAAUACUCCGCAUGAUGACGGUAUCUCCUUAGCAAGCACCGGCUAACUCUGUGCCAGCAGCCGCGGUAAU
rnacentral:rRNA from 1 species